UGGGGAAUAUUGGACAAUGGGCGCAAGCCUGAUCCAGCCAUACCGCGUGGGUGAAGAAGGCCUUCGGGUUGUAAAGCCCUUUUGUUGGGAAAGAAAAGCAGCCGGUUAAUAACCGGUUGUUCUGACGGUACCCAAAGAAUAAGCACCGGCUAACUUCGUGCCAGCAGCCGCGGUAAUACGAAGGGUGCAAGCGUUACUCGGAAUUACUGGGCGUAAAGCGUGCGUAGGUGGUUGUUUAAGUCUGUCGUGAAAGCCCUGGGCUCAACCUGGGAAUUGCGAUGGAAACUGGGCGACUAGAGUGUGGCAGAGGGUAGUGGAAUUCCUGGUGUAGCAGUGAAAUGCGUAGAGAUCAGGAGGAACAUCCGUGGCGAAGGCGACUGCCUGGGCCAACACUGACACUGAGGCACGAAAGCGUGGGGAGCAAACAGG
rnacentral:rRNA from 1 species